AAGGCUUGCUUCCACUGAGAAGAUAGUGGCGAACGGGUGAGGUAACACGUGGGUAACCUGCCCAUAAGAGGGGGAUAACAUCCGGAAACGGGUGCUAAUACCGCAUAGUUUCUUGAUCGCAUGAUCGGGAAAGGAAAGACGGCCUUUGUGCUGUCGCUUAUGGAUGGACCCGCGGCGUAUUAGUUAGUUGGUGAGGUAACGGCUCACCAAGACGAUGAUACGUAGCCGACCUGAGAGGGUGAUCGGCCACAUUGGGACUGAGACACGGCCCAAACUCCUACGGGAGGCAGCAGUAGGGAAUCUUCCGCAAUGGACGAAAGUCUGACGGAGCAACGCCGCGUGAGUGAAGAAAAGGGUUUUCGGAUCGUAAAACUCUGUUGUCAGAGAAGAACAAGUUGGAGAGUAACUGCUCCAGCCUUGACGGUAUCUGACCAGAAAGCCACGGCUAACUACGUGCCAGCCGCAGC
rnacentral:rRNA from 1 species